AUGAACGCUAGCGACAGGCUAACACAUGCAAGUCGAGGGGUAACAGGGUAGCAAUACCGCUGACGACCGGCGCACGGGUGAGUAACGCGUAUGCAACCUGCCUAUAACUGGGGAAUAGCUCCCUGAAAGGGGAAUUAACACCGCAUAACACUAUUGAUUCGCAUGGAUUGGUAGUUAAAUGUAGCGAUACAGGUUAUAGAUGGGCAUGCGUGACAUUAGCUAGUUGGUGAGGUAACGGCUCACCAAGGCUACGAUGUCUAGGGGUUCUGAGAGGAAGGUCCCCCACACUGGUACUGAGACACGGACCAGACUCCUACGGGAGGCAGCAGUGAGGAAUAUUGGUCAAUGGGCGCAAGCCUGAACCAGCCAUGUCGCGUGCAGGAAGACUGCCCCUAUGGGUUGUAAACUGCUUUUAUAGUAGAAGAAACACAUCUACGUGUAGAUGUCUGCCAGUAUACUAUGAAUAAGCAUCGGCUAACUCCGUGCCAGCAGCUGC
rnacentral:rRNA from 1 species